UACGUAGGAUGCAAGCGUUGUCCGGAAUUACUGGGCGUAAAGGGCGAGCAGGCGGCCUAUCAAGUCUGAUGUGAAAUCUCCCGGCUUAACUGGGAGGGGCCAUUGGAAACUGAUAAGCUAGAGUACAACAGAGGCUAACGGAAUUCCCGGUGUAGUGGUGAAAUGCGUAGAUAUCGGGAGGAACACCAGUGGCGAAGGCGGUUAGCUGGGUUGAAACUGACGCUGAGGCGCGAAGGCUAGGGGAGCAAACAGG
rnacentral:rRNA from 1 species